rnacentral:rRNA from 1 species
UGGGGAAUAUUGGGCAAUGGGCGAAAGCCUGACCCAGCCACGCCGCGUGAGUGAUGAAGGCCUUCGGGUCGUAAAGCUCUGUGGGGAGGGACGAAUAAGUCCGGUGCUAAUAUCACCGGGCCCUGACGGUACCUCCUUAGCAAGCACCGGCUAACCAUGUGCCAGCAGCCGCGGUAAUACAUGGGGUGCAAACGUUGCUCGGAAUUAUUGGGCGUAAAGCGCACGUAGGCGGUCCGUUAAGUCGAAUGUGAAAUCCCCCGGCUCAACCGGGGAAGUGCAUCCGAAACUGGCGGGCUAGAGUACGAAAGAGGGUCGCGGAAUUCCCGGUGUAGAGGUGAAAUUCGUAGAUAUCGGGAGGAACACCGGUGGCGAAGGCGGCGACCUGGGGCGAUACUGACGCUGAGGUGCGAAAGCGUGGGGAGCAAACAG